rnacentral:rRNA from 1 species
GCUUUAAUUAACCGACCCAAAGAGACCCAUUAAUUUCAACCGACAGGAACAACAAACCUCUAUAUGGGCCGACAAUUUAGGUUGGGGUGACCUCGGAGAACAGAACAACCUCCGAGUGAUUUAAAUCAAGACUAACCAGUCGAAAGUAUUACAUCACUUAUUGAUCCAAAAGUUUGAUCAACGGAACAAGUUACC